rnacentral:rRNA from 1 species
UACGUAGGGACCAAGCGUUGUUCGGAUUUACUGGGCGUAAAGGGCGCGUAGGCGGUCGUGACAAGUCACUUGUGAAAUCUCCGGGCUUAACCCGGAGCGGUCAAGUGAUACUGUCGUGCUAGAGUGCGGAAGGGGCUACUGGAAUUCUCGGUGUAGCGGUGAAAUGCGUAGAUAUCGAGAGGAACACCUGCGGCGAAGGCGGGUAGCUGGGCCGGUACUGACGCUGAGGAGCGAAAGCGUGGGGAGCGAACAGG